ACUUUGUUUCAGUAUUCCAGUCUAAGGUUCUUCAGAGGCUGUAUCUUACCUCCCAGGCCUGCGAAAGAAUCCAGGUCUCCACCCGCUGAGACCUCUGUGAAACAAAAAGUAGGCCUAGAGGAGGAGSGCACUAUCACUGGAGAUAGCCAGGCAGACAAGUAUACACAGUCCUAGCUCCCCCUGCAGAUUACAAGACGAMUGCAGAGGGAUCUGUCACGCCUUCAGCCAGCAUGCAUAAAUACUGUGGAGUUGUUGAGAACACUCAUGAGUCCAACAAAGAUGAAGAGGUAGAAGAAGACGAUGGAGGAAGAAGAAGGAGAAAUGGGAACUAUAGCUCCAGGAGGUGGGACAGUGGUGGACGGAGCGGGCCAGGUUACAGAAUCCAACCCUGGGGACCCCCAUGGAGGAAGGAGUGUGGCUCAACAAGAAGAGGAGGAAGCAACGUAAUCAACAGAAGCUCUUGUCUCUGGGUCUGGUGCCCCGUGCUGCAGCUCGAGUCCACCUACGAGAGCGAGGGGGAGCGGAGGGGGGAGGAAGAGAUGAGGCAGAGAAGAGCAGCUGAAGUGAUAAUCUUCCUCAGGACCACACAAGAUCUACGUGUCUGAUUGUGAGUGUGACGUACCAGGGCUGCUAAUCAACCCAGAUACGGUCACAUAUAGCCUAAGCUGUGUUUCAGUCUUCCUAAGAGCUGGCCAAAAGUGCUGAAGCAUAYUUCAUUUUAUAGCUUUCAGAUUGGCAGAAAAUAAAUAAUUUGAACAGCACUGUGCAGAGCACACGCAKAUUGAAAGUGAAAGCACAGCUCAUUAAUCACUAGCCUAUAACAACUUGAGGACCWUGAGAGAUUUAGGAAUCGAGGUGUAGAGGUUUGGGUUUACUUCAUCAUGCUCAAAUGUAAUGGACAGGCUCAGUCAUCUGGUCUGUCAUAAUCCCUCCGUGACUUGCCUCUGGAGGACUAGACAGACAGUCAGUCCAAAGAAUCCCAUUGGUUCCAGGGAUUAAGGUUUCUCUGUUGGUGAAUUACUGUGGAAGGCUAAGGAGGAAGACCUCUGGAAAUGUCCACAGUUGUUCAGUUAAAGGGGCCAGAUGCUCCUGUUCCUUAUAUGCACCUCAGUCUAGAGAUAGACCAGGUGAUUAGACACAGGCCCAUUCAGCAACGGAGCUUAUAAUGGUUGGUGGAGUAAUAGUAUACUUACUCCACUACCAAGCAGGUUCAUCUGGUAGUGGAGGGCCUUCUGACCAGCCUGUACAAUGGAACAUUCCCCCCUGCUGUUUUGGCCCAGCUCCACAGCCUCUAGUCCCUUGUGCAGCAACAGGACACAGCAAGGAUGGCAAAGGAUCUGCAGGAGCUCCAGAACAGCUCUACCAUGUCUACUGGUGAUGCCACUGCAGUUGUGUACCUGUUUCAGUAUUGGAUCACAGACAUCCCGCCCAUGCAGAGAAUGGAAAACAGGCCAACCAACAACACAGCCUUAGACUUUCCUAGAUGUUCCGUGUUUUAAACAAUACUGCUGAUGGAAA